GUGGUUUCUGAGUUGUGGGCUUUGCCCACUGUCUCUUACCCAUGUCUUUUGAGUACUUACGUUUCCUCGGUGGGCUCGCCCGCCGGUUGGACAAUUUAAACCAUUUGCAGUUGCAAUCAGCGUCUGAAAAACAUAAUAGUUACAACUUUCAACAACGGAUCUCUUGGUUCUGGCAUCGAUGAAGAACGCAGCGAAAUGCGAUAAGUAGUGUGAAUUGCAGAAUUCAGUGAAUCAUCGAAUCUUUGAACGCACAUUGCGCCCCUUGGUAUUCCAUGGGGCAUGCCUGUUCGAGCGUCAUUUGUACCUUCAAGCUCUGCUUGGUGUUGGGUGUUUGUCUCGCCUUGCGCGUAGACUCGCCUUAAAACAAUUGGCAGCCGGCGUAUUGAUUUCGGAGCGCAGUACAUCUCGCGCUUUGCACUCAUAACGACGACGUCCAAAAGUACUUUUUACACUCUUGACCUCGGAUCAGGUAGGGAUACCCGCUGAACUUAAGCAUAUCAAUAAGCGGAGGAA
rnacentral:rRNA from 1 species